rnacentral:rRNA from 1 species
UACGGGGGGGGCAAGCGUUGUUCGGAAUUACUGGGCGUAAAGGGCUCGUAGGUGGCCAACUAAGUCAGACGUGAAAUCCCUCGGCUUAACCGGGGAACUGCGUCUGAUACUGGCUGGCUUGAGUUUGGGAGAGGGAUGCGGAAUUCCAGGUGUAGCGGUGAAAUGCGUAGAUAUCUGGAGGAACACCGGUGGCGAAGGCGGCAUCCUGGACCAACACUGACACUGAGGAGCGAAAGCCAGGGGAGCAAACGGG